AGCAGCCGCGGUAAUUCCAGCUCCAAUAGCGUAUAUUAAAGUUGUUGCAGUUAAAAAGCUCGUAGUUGAAUUUCGGGGUCAGUAGGUCGGUCGUGCCACAGGUAUGCACUGGUCUCACUGAUUCCUCCUUCCUGAUGAACCGUAAUGCCAUUAAUUUGGUAUUGCGGGGAGACUGGACUGUUACUUUGAAAAAUUAGAGUGUUUAAAGCAGGCUAACGCUUGAAUACAUUAGCAUGGAAUAACGGAAUAGGACGUUCGAUCUUAUUUUGUUGGUUUCUAAGAUUGACGUAAUGAUUAAUAGGGAUAGUUGGGGGCAUUAGUAUUCAAUUGUCAGAGGUGAAAUUCUUGGAUUUAUUGAAGACUAACUACUGCGGAAGCAUUUGCCAAGGAUGUUUUCAUUAAUCAAG
rnacentral:sRNA from 1 species